AUGGAUGAUAUAUUCUUAUUGCAGAAAUGUGUGGAACAUAGGCUCAGCGCGCUGACCGACGACAUCUUAAUCUCUAUCUUGGUGAGAGUCGACAUUGCUACGGCAGCAAGAAGUAGCGUUUUGUCAAGGCGGUGGAGAAACUUGCCGUGGUUACUUCCUGAUCUCAAAUUUCAUGCCAUGAACCUCCUUAGCGCCCCAUGCGGAGGAGUCACACGCCACAUUGACCAAGCAAUGGCGUCUCUGGCUAGAGCUACUAGCAGCUUCUUCGCUCAGCCACGCAGGAAACACACCAAUAAAAAGCUAUGCCUUGAGCUCUAUCUCACCGGCAACUACUCGCAUGACAUCGGCCUGCUGGUCGGCAACGCUAUUGACAGUGAGAUGGUAACAGAUUUGGAACUCCCCAUUUUAACCGAGAAGAAGCCAGAGGACUCUGCACACGAGGUUAUGGUGCAGCAAGCUCAGGAUAUGGAUGGAUUUUUCAGUGCAUACCCUAGCGUUCUUCUUUGCCUCACAAGGCUCCAUCUACAAAAUAUUCGCUUGGCCGAACGGGACAUGAAUCACCUUCUGUUCGACUGCUGCAAGCAAAUGCUGCACCUUCGUCUGGACCACUGUGACACCGGGGACUGUUCUGUAUGGAAGAUCAAUGCGCCACAUUCGAAUCUCAGAGUUCUAGAAGUCUACUUAUCCAAGUUGAAAAAAGCUGAGGUGCUCUGCCUUCCAAAACUAGAGCGGGUCCGUUGGCAGGCUUGGUUGUUUUACGAGGCCCCCUUGUGUUUUGGUUCCGUCCCGUCACUCAAGGAAUUAUCCCUCAUCUGUGACGCAUCUCUCAUUCACCAAGACUUUAGUUUAAGCCAGGUUCUAGACGGUGCCACAAACAUACAUACUUUAACCUUAAACUUUCGAGGAGAAAAGAUUUGGAUGCAACCAGAAGGAAAACAACAAUGCACUGCAUUCAACAAGCUAAGAAAGCUGACCAUCCAUGGUAUUUUUAUAAAAUUUGACCUAUUAUGGACAUUAAAUCUCAUCGAAGCUGCUCCAUCUGUCGAGACAUUUGAUGUUGAGAUGUUUGAACAUCCAUGGCAAGAGGGUCAUGAAGCAAGAAUAAGAUGUUUUGGUGCUCAGAGAGUGGAACCUUCAUGGAAGUUGUCUGGGUUCACAAGCUGUCACAAGUGGCAAUUGAAAGAGUUCCAGUCUAGUGGUUUUAGGCCCCUACUGGAGCAACACUUUUUAUUUGUAAGUACUGUUAUGGGUCGAGCUCCAGACUUGAAGACAGUUCUUCUGACAGACGGUCAAUAUCCAUGCAAUGGUUGUGACACAAGAAUUCCAAUACCUCCUCCGGUAGGGGGCUUCUUUCCAACAUACAGGGAUGCCCAAGAAGCAAUAGCCAAGCAACUUAGAGAGAGGGCCCGGUCCUCGGCACAGAUAAUUUUCCGUAGUGGUUCGACAUACCCCUCGCGGGCAACCCGAUCAUAUAUUUAUUAG
rnacentral:rRNA from 1 species